AGAGCACCUGACUGUUAAUCAGGUUGUCGACGGUUCGAGCCCGCCUGCCGGAG
rfam:Lactobacillus ozensis DSM 23829 = JCM 17196 strain DSM 23829 NODE_7, whole genome shotgun sequence.